CAUUUAUUAAUUAAUUUGCAAACUCCUGAAACAAAAUUCCCCAAGCGAGUGGCUGCCUUGCAGUGUUGCUGAGAACACAGUUGUUAUUCAUCCACACAGGACAAGAUGGAUCGUCUGUGCGAACAGGCUUCUCCUGGGGUCCCCGCUGCUGGGCUCUAGCUCUUUAUACACCAAGAAGAUCCCGUUGUGGGCUCUAGGACAUCAAUAUCUUCACUAAAGGAGAUUUACACCCUCCACGUUGUCACCACCCACUGCAGUGUCUCUGCAGGCGUUACAGAACAAAAUCAUGCUUGACCCUCCGUAUUGUCACCGCUGACAGACACACCAUUGCAGCCGAGUGGGACCUGGCCACUAUGUAGACUGAACAAGAGAGGAAUGAAGAUGGUGGGGACCGAGGGAGGUGUGACGGAUGCUUGCCCAACACCACGCUCGUCUUACAGGAGACGCUGAAGGUGCGCCGUGCACCCCUGAAUGCUCUGCGGAUGAGUGGAGAGUCUGCAGCUUGGACCACACACACUCCUGUUAAAGUCGUCGGCUUCAAGGACUCCCUUCUGAGAUGCACAGAAUCCAUAAGCUGCACUGUAAUUCUAGUGAUUCAUGUUGAACCUACACCUAUGCCUUUUUAAAAUUUAAAUGUACAAAAUGUGCUGAGCCCCUAGGCAUUUGUAUUGGAAUACAUUUCCAGCCUCCUGACAUGAAUGCCCUCGCUAUUACUGAUGGAAACAGACUGUGGGGUUGCUGUGUAAUUUCCAUUCAUAUUGUAUUAAAAUGUUCGAGAUGCA